AGGUCAUUUCAAAGAGGCUGCAAAACCAAGAGCUCUUAACGCUGUGAGCAAAGAUGGAAGUUCUCUCUAGGAUGCCAUGGCACUCGAUGGUGGUAUGUUUUCCUGGGGAGAUAUAAGA
rnacentral:snoRNA from 10 species